UGGGGAAUAUUGCACAAUGGGCGCAAGCCUGAUGCAGCCAUGCCGCGUGUAUGAAGAAGGCCUUCGGGUUGUAAAGUACUUUCAGUCGGGAGGAAGGUGUCAAGGUUAAUAACCUUGGCAAUUGACGUUACCGACAGAAGAAGCACCGGCUAACUCCGUGCCAGCAGCCGCGGUAAUACGGAGGGUGCAAGCGUUAAUCGGAAUUACUGGGCGUAAAGCGCACGCAGGCGGUUGAUUGAGUCAGAUGUGAAAUCCCCGGGCUUAACCCGGGAAUUGCAUCUGAUACUGGUCGGCUAGAGUCUUGUAGAGGGGGGUAGGAUUCCAUGUGUAGCGGUGAAAUGCGUAGAGAAGUGGAGGAAUACCGGUGGCGAAGGCGGCCCCCUGGACAAAGACUGACGCUCAGGUGCGAAAGCGUGGGGAGCAAACAGG
rnacentral:rRNA from 1 species